AAACAUCGAGCCACUAUCGAUAGUAUCGAUGGCGACUUCACUGAUUCGACUAUCGAAGUUUUUUUCCCCGAUAGUUCGAUAGUGGUAAAAAUUUUUACCAUAUCUUGCUGCACAGUAAAAAGAGUGUUGUUGGACUUUUGUGUGUUGGUGUUGAUGGUGACGGGAUGAACAAGUUUUUAGCAGGUUUAAGCAAAGAGGACGCCGGAGCGACAACCAAUUCGGACGACGAAAAUUAACCAAAACGAAGGAAGACAGAAAAGUCGAGAGUAUGGGAGUUUUUUAAAAAAUUGACGGGUAAAAAUGCUCAGUGCAUUUUAGGUAGCAAAGUCUACAAAACUAGUGGCAAUACUUGUCGGACCAUUUAAAAAGGCUGCACCCAACUGCAAAAAUAGAAAACAUUAAACCACCGGUAGGUACAAUCGAAACAUACUUUCAGCAGAAAUAUGAAACUGGAUCUGCACGCAAAAAAGUCUGGACAAUGAUCUAGUGUACUACACUUCUUCCGACUUGCGCCCAUUGUCUGUAGUUGAAAAUAAAGGUUUUGGGAAAUUCACUACGAACCUCGAUCCACGCUAUGUGCUACCAAGUCGAACCACACUACAGAAUGUGCACAUGAAAAAUGCAUACAAUUCAAUGAAAUGUAAGCUGCAGGAUCUACUUAACGCUGUAGAUCAUUGUGCUGUAACUACGGACUGUUGGACUUCUCGUGCAAACGAGAGUUAUAUAUCAGUAACAUGCCAUUUUGUCAGCUCUGAUUUUGUUUUGCGCAUUGUGCUUCAUGCAACAAAAAAAUUGGAGGACCAAACAAAUCACUCUGCGUUAAACAUAAGCGAUACUUGAGCUCGACUCUUGAGGAGUGGAAAAUGAUUGAUAAGGUGAUAGCUAUUCUUACAGAUGGUGCCGCUAAUAUGCUUAGAGCUUGCAGAAACAUUGACAAGACAAACCUUCCUUGCUUCGCACACUCUUUGAAUUUGGUGGUUCAGGAUUGUUUGGCUCAAGAAGAAAUUAAACCAAUUAUGUCAAAAUGCUAGCGAAUCGAUUUUUAAGAGUAGCUCCACAGCAUACGCUAAGUUCAAGCAGGCCCAGGAUGUGCCAAAACCAUAUAUCCUAAAGCAGGAAGUGCCUAAACGCUGGAAUAGUGGCUAUCAAAUGAUUAACCGCAUUUUAAAGACAAAGGAUGCUAUUGGAAAGAUCAUUCUGGCCACUCCUAAAGCGCCUCUGCC